rnacentral:rRNA from 1 species
AUGGAUCCUCAUCCAAUUGCUAAUGUUCUUAAGAGAUCCAAUUAUGAUGAACCAAUUGUUAGUAAGUUUUGUGCACUAGAUUAUCUUUAUGAAGUUUGGCUUGAAAUUCGUGAAUCUGAAAAUUGUGAUGAAGAAAUUUAUGAAGAGAUUCACGAUAGCUCUAUGAAUAAAAAGCAUGAUUGCAAUGAUUUUACUAUAAAUUCUAUUGAUGUCAAUCGUGCUAAUAAUAUGCAAAACGCUAAGCUUGGGGAUGCUAGUUUUGCUAUGACUACUAUUUGUUGCAAUGAUCAUGAUUGGGGUGAUUCUUCUUUUGAUCUUGAAAAUUUAUUUAAGCCCCAUGAUGAAUAUGAGAUAGAUAAGAGUGUUUGCAAUAUUAUUGAAAGUGGGUUUGGAAGAGUGUUAAAUUUAGAUACGACAUAUUUGGAGAAUGUUCAAUCUUAUGAAAUUUUUGAUAAAAGUGGGUUUGGAGACAUCAUGACUUUAGUUAAUGUUAAUCCCACUAUUUUGGAAGAGUGUCAACUUUGCAUACAUGUGGAUUGUGUUGAGUUAUGUGAUAGCUAUUUUGUUGAAUUUGCUUACGAUCCCACAUGUAAUUAUUAUGAGAGAGGAAAAUAUGGUUGUAGGAAUUUUCUUGUUACUAAAUUACCUCUUGUUACGUUGAGAUCGCUAUUGUUUCUUUCCCCUUCCUUGCAUAUGCUAGUUUCUUGA